CACCGCGGUUAUACGAGCGGCUCAAGUUGAUUAUACCCGGCGUAAAAGGUGGCUAGGGUAACUAAACAUAGGGCCGAACCCCCUCUAAGCCGUUAUACGCACACGAAGGCAUGAAGCACCAACACGAAAGUAGCCCUACCCCUCCCCGAACCCACGAAAGCCACAAAA
rnacentral:rRNA from 1 species